UACGUAGGGGGCGAGCGUUGUCCGGAUUUAUUGGGCGUAAAGAGCUCGUAGGCGGUUCGAUAAGUCGGACGUGAAAUCUCCACGCUCAACGUGGAGGGGCCGUUCGAUACUGUCGUGACUCGAGUCCGGUAGGGGAGUGUGGAAUUCCCGGUGUAGCGGUGAAAUGCGCAGAGAUCGGGAGGAACACCCGUAGCGAAGGCGGCACUCUGGGCCGGUACUGACGCUGAGGAGCGAAAGCGUGGGGAGCAAGCAGGAGUU
rnacentral:rRNA from 1 species